GUGUCAGCAGCCGCGGUAAGACGAACCGUGCGAACGUUGUUCGGAAUUACUGGGCGUAAAGCGCAUGUAGGCGGCCAAGCAGGUCGGAUGUGAAAUCCCUCGGCUCAACCAAGGAAGUGCAUUCGAAACCGCAUGGCUCGAGUCCCGGAGAGGAAGGUGGAAUUCUCGGUGUAGAGGUGAAAUUCGUAGAUACCGAGAGGAACACCGGUGGCGAAAGCGGCCUUCUGGACGAGGACUGACGCUGAGAUGCGAAAGCGUGGGGAGCAAACAGGAUUAGAUACCCCUGUAGUCC
rnacentral:rRNA from 1 species